rnacentral:rRNA from 1 species
GACGAACGCUGGCGGCGUGCUUAACACAUGCAAGUCGCACGGGACUGGGGGCAACUCCAGUUCAGUGGCGGACGGGUGCGUAACACGUAAGUAACAUGUCCAAGGGUGGGGGAGUAGGCCGGCCCAACCGGCCGGGUAAUACCGCAUGCAGUCACGGGGGACAGUCCUCGGUGACGAAAGCCGGGGCAACCUGGCGCCCAUGGAGUGGCUUGCGGCCUAUCAGCUAGUUGGUGAGGUCACGGCUCACCAAGGCGACGACGGGUAGCUGGUCUGAGAGGAUGAUCAGCCACAUUGGGACUGAGACACGGCCCAGACUCCUACGGGA